rnacentral:rRNA from 1 species
GACGAACGCUGGCGGCGUGCCUAACACAUGCAAGUCGAACGGAAAGGCCCUGCUUUUGUGGGGUGCUCGAGUGGCGAACGGGUGAGUAACACGUGAGUAACCUGCCCUUGACUUUGGGAUAACUUCAGGAAACUGCGGCUAAUACCGGAUAGGAGCUCCUGCUGCAUGGUGGGGGUUGGAAAGUUUCGGCGGUUGGGGAUGGACUCGCGGGUUAUCAGCUUGUUGGUGGGGUAGUGGCUUACCAAGGCUUCGACGGGUAGCCGGCCUGAGAGGGUGACCGGCCACAUUGGGACUGCGAGACGGCCCAGACUCCUACGUGCGGCAGCAGUGGGGAGCAUUACACAAUGGGCGGAAGCCUGAGACAGCAGCGCCGCGUGCGGGAUGACGGCCUUCGGGUUGUAAACCGCUUUCGCCUGUGACGAAGCGUGAGUGACGGUAAUGGGUAAAGAAGCACCGGCUAACUACGUG